GGAUUAGAUACCCCAGUAGUCCUAGCCGUAAACGAUGGAUACUAGGUGUUGUCUGUAUCGACCCGGACAGUGCCGUAGCUAACGCAUUAAGUGCCCCGCCUGGGGAGUACGGCCGCAAGGCUAAAAACUCAAAGGAAUUGACGGGGGCCCGCACAAGCAGCGGAGCAUGUUGCUUAAUCGAGGCAACGCGAAGAACUUUACCGUGGGUUUGACAUGUAGAGAAAAGCCGUAGAGAUACGGUGUCCUUCGGGUCGUACACGAGGUGGUGCAGUGGUUGUCGUCAGCUCGUGUCGUGAGAAGUGUUAGGGUUAAGUCCGCAACGAGCGCAAACCCUUGUCCUAGUGUUCGCCAGCACGUUAGUCGGUGGGGAACCGUACGUAGGAGACGUGCCGGGGUCAACGUCGGAGGAAGGUGGGGACGACGUCGAAAUCGAUACACUCGCCCCUUAUACGUCCGAGGGUCUGACAAACCG
rnacentral:rRNA from 1 species